rnacentral:rRNA from 1 species
AUUGAACGCUGGCGGCAUGCCUUACACAUGCAAGUCGAACGGUAACAGGUCUUCGGAUGCUGACGAGUGGCGAACGGGUGAGUAAUACAUCGGAACGUGCCUAGUAGUGGGGGAUAACUACUCGAAAGAGUGGCUAAUACCGCAUGAGAUCUACGGAUGAAAGCAGGGGAUCGCAAGGCCUUGUGCUACUAGAGCGGCCGAUGGCAGAUUAGGUAGUUGGUGGGAUAAAAGCUUACCAAGCCGACGAUCUGUAGCUGGUCUGAGAGGACGAUCAGCCACACUGGGACUGAGACACGGCCCAGACUCCUACGGGAGGCAGCAGUGGGGGAUUUUGGACAAUGGGCGCAAGCCUGAUCCAGCAAUGCCGCGUGCAGGAUGAAGGCCUUCGGGUUGUAAACUGCUUUUGUACGGAACGAAAAGCCCUGGGUUAAUACCCUGGGGUCAUGACGGUACCGUAAGAAUAAGCACCGGCUAACUACGUGCCAGCAGCCGCCGUAAAAC